rnacentral:rRNA from 1 species
AACGCGAAGAACCUUACCUACCCUUGACAUGUACGGAAGCCAGAUGAGAGUUUGGUGUGCCCGAAAGGGAGCCGUAACACAGGUGCUGCAUGGCUGUCGUCAGCUCGUGUCGUGAGAUGUUGGGUUAAGUCCCGCAACGAGCGCAACCCUUGUCAUUAAUUGCCAUCAUUUGGUUGGGCACUUUAAUGAGACUGCCGGUGACAAACCGGAGGAAGGUGGGGAUGACGUCAAGUCCUCAUGGCCCUUAUGGGUAGGGCUUCACACGUAAUACAAUGGCCGGUACAGAGGGCUGCCAACCCGCGAGGGGGAGCUAAUCUCAGAAAGCCGGUCGUAGUCCGGAUUGUUCUCUGCAACUCGAGAGCAUGAAGUCGGAAUCGCUAGUAAUCGCGGAUCAGCAUGUCGCGGUGAAUACGUUCCCGGGCCUUGUA